rnacentral:rRNA from 1 species
AGAGUUUGAUCCUGGCUCAGGNNGAACGCUGGCGGCGUGCUUAACACAUGCAAGUCGAACGAGNCGAUUGAAAGCUUGCUUUUGAAAGUCGAGUGGCAAACGGGUGAGUAACGCGUAGACAACCUGCCGUAAAGAUGGGGACAACAGUCCGAAAGGACUGCUAAUACCGAAUGUUGUGGAACUUCCGCAUGGGGGCUCCACUAAAGAUGGCCUCUACUUGUAAGCUAUCGCUUUACGAUGGGUCUGCGUCUGAUUAGCUAGUUGGUGGGGUAACGGCUUACCAAGGCGACGAUCAGUAGCCGGUCUGAGAGGAUGAACGGCCACAUUGGAACUGAGACACGGUCCAGACUCCUACGGGAGGCAGCAGUGGGGAAUCUUCCGCAAUGGGCGCAAGCCUGACGGAGCAACUCCGCGUGAGUGAAGAAGGGUUCGACUCGUAAAGCUCUGUUGUCUGGGACGAAUGUGGAGAUGGUGAAUAAACAUUUUCAAUGAUGGUACCUGACUAGGAAGCCACGGUUAAUUCCGUGCCANCACCCUCGGUAAUA